rnacentral:piRNA from 1 species
UGGCCUCUCCUGGUACCCACUGUGAUGUC